UACAGAGGGCGCGAGCGUUGUCCGGAAUCACUGGGCGUAAAGGCGCGUAGGUGGCCACUAUAAGGCCGCGGUGAAAGUUCGGGGCUCAACCCUGAAUCGGCCGCGGCGACUGUAGGGCUUGGGCACUGUAGAGGCAGAUGGAAUUCCGGGUGUAGCGGUGGAAUGCGUAGAGAUCCGGAAGAACACCGGUGGCGAAGGCGGGUCACUGGGCAGUAACUGACGCUGAGGAGCGAAAGCGUGGGGAGCGAACAGG
rnacentral:rRNA from 1 species